rnacentral:rRNA from 1 species
UACGGAGGGUGCAAGCGUUGCUCGGAAUUACUGGGCGUAAAGGGUGUGUAGGCGGAUACUUAAGUCGGGGGGUGAAAGCCCAGGGCUCAACCCUGGAAUAGCCUUCGAUACUGGGUAUCUUGAGUUCGGGAGAGGUAAGUGGAACUCCGAGUGUAGAGGUGAAAUUCGUAGAUAUUCGGAAGAACACCAGUGGCGAAGGCGACUUACUGGCCCGAUACUGACGCUGAAACACGAAAAGCGUGGGGGAGCAAACAGG